rnacentral:misc_RNA from 1 species
GUUUGUGAUGUCAAAAAUGAAAUAUCUUAUUCCCUUAACAAUUUCAAGUUCCCUAUGCUGCCGGAAUUUGGCUUAUAUGUUGAGGAUCGCAACCAUAUUUUUGGAUUAGGGGCGUUAGUUCCUACAACCAAUCAGCUUUUGCUUUAUAUGUUCUUCAAUUUAGAUGUGGUUCUCUGAAAACAAGCCCAAGAAGACUGAAUCAGGUCUGUACAGAAUUGAAAAUUUUCAUCUAGGAUAUGUUUAAAUUGAGGUAGACCUAACACAAGAUUAUGAUCAUUAUUCUUCAGUGACUCUUGAUAGCACUUCAAUUCAUUCAGUUUACUUGUUUCAGUGAUUAUUUGAAUAGGAUCACCAGUCAGCCCAACAUUAUUGGCCUUCCAAUGCCUGAACUUUUUUUUGUUAUUAUUUUUAUUUUUAUUCCCUUAACCUUUCUGAUUCUGUUUUAUCUUAUGUCUGUAACUUCUCUCUGAUCCUAAUUUCAUGCCUGUACAAUUCAUAUUCACAGGUGGCUGCUAAUAACGUUGCCAUGAUUCCAUCUGGAUAAAUAUUUGAUAGGUCAGUGCUCAUAAUGAAACGUGUUUACUUUAACUGUUAAAUAUUGAAACCAUUAUUGAUAAUUGAUUGUGGAUACUUUAUUAUGUUUUUAGAUUUGAAUUUGAGUACUUAGUCUUUCAUGUGAUUUACAAGUAGAAAAUAUGGAUUUGACAAGGAGGCCUUAAUGUUAAUAUGGGUUAUAAUAGCCUCAUUGGUGACAGAUGAAUUUGUCUAUGUGAAUUAAUGGUUUGCAAUGUUAUAUUUUUGGAUGGUGGAACAAGUUGGUGA